CCCCUAGAUGUUCUGGGCCGCACGCGCGCUACACUGAACAGUUCAACAAGUCUUAACCUUGGCCGAUAGGUCUGGGUAAUCUUUGAACGCUGUUCGUGAUUGGGAUAGACCUUUGCAAUUAUGGGUCUUCAACGAGGAAUUCCUAGUAAACGCAAGUCAUCAGCUUGCAUUGAUUACGUCCCUGCCCUUUGUACACACCGCCCGUCGCACCUACCGAUUGAAUGGUCCGGUGAAAUCUCGGGACGGCGGCUUGGUCGCUUGCGUCCGACUGCUGAAACUUGAUCAAACCAUAUCAUUUAGAGGAAGGUGAANUCGUANCA
rnacentral:rRNA from 1 species